rnacentral:RNase_P_RNA from 1 species
GCUUGUCGCUGGCGCACCGAUAAGGGGCGAAAGAGGAAAGUCCGGGCAGCAUAGGGCGCUCCACUUCUGAAAGUAGAAGCUAUUGGCAACAGUAGGCAAGAGCAGAAGAAAACAACCGCCUGCAUCGUGCAGGUAAGGGUGAGAAGGCGGUGUAAGAGACCACCAGGCGUCGGGCGAUCGGCGCGCUGUGCUCACUGGGGGCUGCAAGUUCGUGUAUACCACCGUCUGAGGGCGGCCCGUCCAAGUCGGACUCGACACGGUGGAGGGUAGAACGCUUGAGCCGGCGGGCGACCGCCGGACUAGAUAAAUGACAGGCUGUCGGGAGCGCCGUGAGGCUCCCCGACCACAGAACCCGGCUUAUAGGGGCUC